rnacentral:rRNA from 1 species
GACGAACGCUGGCGGCGUGCUUAACACAUGCCAGUCGAACGGAAAGGCCCUGCUUUUGUGGGGUGCUCGAGUGGCGAACGGGUGAGUAACACGUGAGUAACCUGCCCUUGACUUUGGGAUAACUUCAGGAAACUGGGGCUAAUACCGGAUAGGAGCUCCUGCUGCAUGGUGGGGGUUGGAAAGUUUCGGCGGUUGGGGAUGGACUCGCGGCUUAUCAGCUUGUUGGUGGGGUAGUGGCUUACCAAGGCUUUGACGGGUAGCCGGCCUGAGAGGGUGACCGGCCAAAUUGGGACUGAGAUACGGCCCAGACCCCUACGGGGGGCAGCGGUGGGGAAUAUUGCACAAGGGGCGGAAGCCUGAUGAAGCAACGCCGGGGGCGGGAUGACGGCCUUCGGGUGGUAAACCGCUUUCGCCUGGGACGAAGCGGGGGUGACGGUAAUGGGUAAAGAAGCACCGGCUAACUACGU